UACAGAGGUCCCAAGCGUUGUUCGGAUUCACUGGGCGUAAAGGGUGCGUAGGUGGCCAGGUAAGUUUGGGGUGAAAGCUCGGAGCUUAACUCCGAAAAGUCAUUGAAUACUAUCUGGCUGGAGGGUCGGAGGGGAGACUGGAAUUCUCGGUGUAGCAGUGAAAUGCGUAGAUAUCGAAAGGAACACCAGUGGCGAAGGCGAGUCUCUGGACGACUCCUGACACUGAGGCACGAAAGCUAGGGGAGCAAACAGG
rnacentral:rRNA from 1 species